rnacentral:rRNA from 1 species
GACGAACGCUGGCGGCGUGCUUAACACAUGCAAGUCGAACGGAAAGGCCCUGCUUUUGUGGGGUGCUCGAGUGGCGAACGGGUGAGUAACACGUGAGUAACCUGCCCUUGACUUUGGGAUAACUUCAGGAAACUGGGGCUAAUACCGGAUAGGAGCUCCUGCUGCAUGGUGGGGGUUGGAAAGUUUCGGCGGUUGGGGAUAGACUCGCGGCUUAUCAGCUUGUUGGGGAGGUAGUGGCUUACCAAGGCUAUGACGGGUAGCCGGCCUGAGAGGGUGACCGGCCACAUUGGGACUGAGAUACGGCCCAGACUCCUACGGGAGGCAGCAGGGGGGAAUAUUGCACAAUGGGCGGAAGCCUGAUGCAGCAACGCCGCGUGCGGGAUGCCGGCCUUCGGGUUGUAAACCGCUUUCGCCUGUGACGAAGCGUGCGUGACGGUAAUGGGUAAAGAAGCACCGGCUAACUACGUG